GCGGACGGGUGAGUAACACGUGAGCAACCUGUCUCCAGAUUCGGAAUAACCUCUCGAAAGGGGGGCUAAUACCGGAUAAGACCACAGAACCUAAUGGUUCAGUGGUAAAAGGUGGCCUCUCCAUGGAAGCUACUGUCUGGUGAUGGGCUCGCGGUCCAUUAGCUUGUUGGUGAGGUAACGGCUCACCAAGGCGACGAUGGAUAGCCGGCCUGAGAGGGUGAACGGCCACACUGGGACUGAGACACGGCCCAGACUCC
rnacentral:rRNA from 1 species